UCGGGAAUUUUGGGCAAUGGGGGAAACCCUGACCCAGCAACGCCGCGUGAAGGAUGAAGUAUUUCGGUAUGUAAACUUCGAAAGAAUAGGAAGAAUAAAUGACGGUACUAUUUAUAAGGUCCGGCUAACUACGUGCCAGCAGCCGCGGUAAUACGUAGGGACCAAGCGUUAUUCGGAUUUACUGGGCGUAAAGGGCGCGUAGGCGGCAAUUCAAGUCAUCUGUGAAAUCUCCGGGCUUAACUCGGAACGGUCAGAUGAUACUGCUUUGCUAGAGUGCAGAAGGGGCAAUCGGAAUUCUUGGUGUAGCGGUGAAAUGCGUAGAUAUCAAGAGGAACACCUGAGGUGAAGACGGGUUGCUGGGCUGACACUGACGCUGAGGCGCGAAAGCCAGGGGAGCAAACGGGAUUAGAUACCCCGGUAGUCCCUGAGCGGGCUGGCAAGGCGCAU
rnacentral:rRNA from 1 species